rnacentral:rRNA from 1 species
UACAGAGGUCUCAAGCGUUGUUCGGAUUCAUUGGGCGUAAAGGGUGCGUAGGUGGCGUGGUAAGUCGGGUGUGAAAUUUCGGAGCUUAACUCCGAAACUGCAUUCGAUACUGCCGUGCUUGAGGACUGGAGAGGAGACUGGAAUUUACGGUGUAGCAGUGAAAUGCGUAGAGAUCAUGAGGAAGACCAGUGGCGAAGGCGGGUCUCUGGACAGUUCCUGACACUGAGACACGAAGGCCAGGGGAGCAAACGGG